GACGAACGCUGGCGGCGUGCUUAACACAUGCAAGUCGAACGGAAAGGCCCUGCUUUUGUGGGGUGCUCGAGUGGCGAACGGGUGAGUAACACGUGAGUAACCUGCCCUUGACUUUGGGAUAACUUCAGGAAACUGGGGCUAAUACCGGAUAGGAGCUCCUGCUGCAUGGUGGGGGUUAGAAAGUUUCGGCGGUUGGGGUUGGACUCGCGGCUUAUCAGCUUGUUGGUGGGGUAGUGGCUUACCAAGGCUUUGACGGGUAGCCGGCCUGAGAGGGUGACCGGCCACAUUGGGACUGAGAUACGGCCCAGACUCCUACGGGAGGCAGCAGUGGGGAAUAUUGCACAAUGGGCGGAAGCCUGAUGCAGCAACGCCGCGUGCGGGAUGACGGCCUUCGGGUUGUAAACCGCUUUCGCCUGUGACGAAGCGUGAGUGACGGUAAUGGGUAAAGAAGCACCGGCUAACUACGUG
rnacentral:rRNA from 1 species